GAUGAACGCUGGCGGCGUGCUUAACACAUGCAAGUCGAACGGAAAGGCCACAGCUUGCUGUGGUACUCGAGUGGCGAACGGGUGAGUAACACGUGGGUGAUCUGCCCUGUACUUCGGGAUAAGCUUGGGAAACUGGGUCUAAUACCGGAUAGGAAUCACAUGUGGGUGUGUGGUUGGAAAGCUUUUGCGGUAUGGGAUGAGCUCGCGGCCUAUCAGCUUGUUGGUGGGGUAAUGGCCUACCAAGGCGUCGACGGGUAGCCGGCCUGAGAGGGUGUACGGCCACAUUGGGACUGAGAUACGGCCCAGACUCCUACGGGAGGCAGCAGUGGGGAAUAUUGCACAAUGGGCGCAAGCCUGAUGCAGCGACGCCGCGUGGGGGAUGACGGCCUUCGGGUUGUAAACCCCUUUCGUCAGGGACGAAGCGAAAGUGACGGUACCUGGAGAAGAAGCACCGGCUAACUACGUG
rnacentral:rRNA from 1 species